rnacentral:lncRNA from 1 species
AGAGACUGCACAUGGGAAAAUUGAACUGUUAAACAAUAUAAUCCGGACAUGUUCGAAGUAAGACGCAGUUCUAGCCUAUACGAUUUGAUGCGGAUUAUCCAUUACGUCAGCAACUGUAACACCAGCAUUAACACGGUCAAUCUCUGGUAUAAGGGACUGCAGAAAACUAAUGGGAGCGGCGUGGCAUGGUCGGGAUCGGCAGCUAUUGGGGCACCUUGUGUUGAAAGGUAACUGCUGUACCUGGUUAAUUUUAUUAGAUCCGAUUUAUCUAGAUCCGUUGCAUGCAUUAAUUAACUGCCUGCAUGUAAAAGAAUAA